rnacentral:rRNA from 1 species
GACAGAGGGUGCAAACGUUGUUCGGAUUUACUGGGCGUAAAGCGUGUGUAGGCGGCUUUGCAAGUCGGAUGUGAAAUCCCACGGCUCAACCGUGGAAGUGCAUCCGAAACGGCAUCGCUUGAGUCUCGGAGAGGAAGGUGGAAUGCUUGGUGUAGAGGUGAAAUUCGUAGAUAUCAAGCAGAACACCUGCGGCGAAGGCGGCCUUCUGGACGAUGACUGACGCUGAGACACGAAAGCGUGGGGAGCAAACCGG